AAAAAAUAUCAGUAUGAGUGUUAUAAUCUAAAUUUCGUAAGAAAAAACAGUUAUAUAUACGAUUUGUUGAAAUUUAAAGGAUAUUAUUUGGGUAUAUUAACUAAUAAGGAAAAGACAUUACCUAAUAUGAUAUAUUAUAUGAACAAAAAUACAUUUUUAAUACCAAUGGAAACUCCUAAAAUUGAAGGACCGCAGUAUAAAGAUGGUAAGUUGUAUCAACUUGAUAAUGAAAGAGUUAUAUAUAAUUAUGAAAAUGCAAAUGAUAAGUUUACAUAUAUACUUAAUCAUAAAGGAGGAGUUAAACAUUGUACUUUGUUAUAUCUUUAUAAAAAAUAUAUGAACGCUGGAUUUAUAAAAGAAAAUGAUAAUUUUUAUUGUACAGUUCCAUAUAGUAAUUUAGAAACUACCGAUACUAGUCGAAUUUUAACAAUUAGUGUUAUAAAUGGUGUGAAAACUGAUAUAAGAAAAUGCUUUUCUUAUAAGUUAUCUAAUUCAUUUGAACCUAUUAAUCUUAUUCAUAAAAUAACAGUGUCAAAAGAAUAUGAAAAUUAUUUUUUAUAUCAUUUUUAUAUAAAAAAAGAUUUAGAAAAGUAUUUUUUUUUAAUAAAUAUGAAAUUAGAAUGUCAUUUAGGUGACAAAUUUUAUGUAGUACUAUAUUUAAAUGGUAGGAAUAAUUACAUACUUGACAAUUUAAAUUUGGGUUAUAUUAAUAACACAAAACAUGAAAUAGAGUUAUAUACUAGUACUGUUGUUAAUAUUAUUUUACCAAAAACAAACAAAUUGAAAAACUAUAUAUAUGAAACGAAGUUUCCUCCUAAUACAAGAUAUAUUAAAAUAGAAACGUUUUCUUAUAUAUUAUUAUUACCAUCAUACAUUGAAAAUACAUAUACAAUUAAAAUGCCUUUUUUUCAAAACAGUGAAAAAGGAAAUUAUUCUUUACAAAACGUAACAAUAAAAAGUGGAGGAAAAAAAAAUAAGAUACUUGGCGUAGAUUUUUCUAAUAGUAAACAUAUAUGUAUAUAUAAUGAUAUUUAUAAUAAUUGUAAUAAUGUUAUAAUACAAAAUAACAAUGUUACAGUUAACGUCAAUUUGGUUAGUGGUGGGAAAAGUGAAUUUGAUACAGACAAUGAAAAUACCAGUUCAGA
rnacentral:lncRNA from 1 species